rnacentral:sRNA from 1 species
AGUGGACUCUGGUCUGAGAAUAGAAUCAAUCGGACGAAGUGUUCUGUACGGAGGUCCCCUGACAGAUACAGCGGAGUACGAUCUGUCUGAGAUUAGGUUCCACUGGGGACGGGACUGUGACAGGGGCUCUGAACAUCUGAUCAAUCACAAAGCUUUUCCAAUGGAGAUCCAAUUCGUUCACUGGAAUUCCAGACUGUACAGUAGUAUAGAGGAAGCUGUAGGAGGCAGACAUGGUAUCACCAUUGUCGCUAUGUUUGGACAGAUUGGCAGAGAACAUAGUGGAUUGAGGAUUGUUGCCGAUGCCUUGGAAGAUGUUUUAUACAAGGUAAAAAUAAAAAUGUUGACGUAAUUUAUAAGGGGACA